rnacentral:lncRNA from 12 species
CAGGGUCGCAGCCACCUGUCUGCCGGGAGUCCGCCCCGGCCUGGGCGAGGGACACGUUUUUUUUUUUUAAUUUUUGUUUAUUUAUGAUAGUCACACAGACAGAGAGGGAGAGAGGCAGAGACACAGGCAGAGGGAGAAGCAGGCUCCAUGCUCUGGGAGCCCGACGUGGGAUUCGAUCCCGGGUCUCCAGGAUCGCGCCCUGGGCCAAAGGCAGACGCUAAACCACUGCGCCACCCAGGGAUCCCCGGGACACGUCUUUAAACUGUGAGCAGGCGUGGAGUCCAGAUACCAGCUUCCCUUCAAUCGCAGUCAAAUACCUUGUGUGCCUUAAAUAAACUGCUGAGGGGGGUCGGACUGGCGAGAAUGCAGGGAGGGAGGAGAGAGCAGGACCCAGAUCUAGGGGCAGCCUUGGCCACAGUGGGAACGACCACCGGGGAAUUGGUGAAGACGUCUUUUUAGGCUCCCUUAGCUGAACUCAUGGCCACAGCUGCCUGGGGUCUGCUUCCCACCCACGACCCCCGGCAGCCCCUGCGCCUGCCCCUGGGCUUCUCCAAAGCCCAUGAAAGCCUGCUGCUCCUCCCGGACCAGAUUCUCCACCUCCCUCCUCCAGCGACCGGUGGGCCAGUGGCGGGCCGGGUGGCUGAAACACGCGACAAUCAAGCCUCUCCCUCAACCCACAAAAUGAACAGUCCCCAGGGCCUCCUGUGUCCUUCAGACUCCAACGUGCCAGAUCCCCCUGGGCCAAGGGACUGUGCUGUCCUCUGUCUGCAACCUGAAGUCCAGUUUGCCAGUUAGAUUUCGGAUGUGAUUAAGCGCACCCACACCGCACCCAGGAUGACACCCAGGAAGAGAGCCAGCCUGUGUGCCCUCUGUGGCUUCUCCAGGACCUCAGCUUCUGUGAUGGGGCAAAGGAAGCCAGCCCCGGCCCUCCGGCUGUCCUCCUUCCCUGAACCUGGCACUCAAGUCACCUAGCAACCUCGACAGGCGGCCAGCCUGGCCAAUCACCUGUGGCCGAUGACACCCACCUGCUUCCAGGGCCUGAAAGAAGCACCUCCCCCAGCGCCUCCCCCUACCACCCGUCACCCCGCCGGGCCACCCCACCUCCCCCUUGGACGGCCCCCAAGAAAGCAGGCCCGGUGACCAGUGUUUCUCACCUCACCCUCUGCUCCCUACCCAAGGCCCAUUCUGCGGCUUAAUCUGUGACAUUUAACAUAAAUAGUUUUCUAUUCCCAGCUGACCUUUAAUGGCUUUUAUCAUCAGCUGUGGUUCCUGGCAGCCGUACAAGAGCAGCUGACUGCUGCCUCAGUCUAUUGCAACAGAAUGCCCAAGGAGGCCCCACGGUUCCCGCCACGUGAAGCCCGGUGGCCCCCGGAGAUGUCUGCCCAGACCUGAGCCCGCCACUCUCCGCCCGGAAAUAUCAUUACACGUUUCAAUUAGAAUUAGUGGGGAAGUCAGUUAUUAAGUGGCCCGUUAUUAUGGUAAUGGAGACACUCCACAUUAACUGGUGCAGACCGCUCUGGCCUUCCUCUGAGGGCCACUUCUGAACCCCCCAUCCCUCCCUGAUGCUCAGUGGCAAGUGCAGCCGGGGAGGCAGGGGACGCCUGGGUGGCUCAGCGGCUGAGCUUCUGCCUUUGGCUUGGGGCGUGAUCCUGGGGUCCGGGAUCAGGUCCCACAUCGGGCUCCACGCAGGGAGCCUGCUUCUCCCUCUGCCUGGGUCUCUCAUGAAUAAAUAGAUAAAUAAAAAAAAAAGAAAGAAAGAA